rnacentral:rRNA from 1 species
AGCGGCAGCUUACACAUGCAAGUCGAGCGGAACGAGAAUAGCUUGCUAUUCGGCGUCGAGCGGCGGACGGGUGAGUAAUGCUUGGGAAUAUGCCUUGAGGUGGGGGACAACAGUUGGAAACGACUGCUAAUACCGCAUAAUGUCUACGGACCAAAGGAGGGGAUCUUCGGACCUUUCGCCUUUAGAUUAGCCCAAGUGAGAUUAGCUAGUAGGUAAGGUAAUGGCUUACCUAGGCGACGAUCUCUAGCUGGUUUGAGAGGAUGAUCAGCCACACUGGGACUGAGACACGGCCCAGACUCCUACGGGAGGCAGCAGUGGGGAAUAUUGCACAAUGGGGGAAACCCUGAUGCAGCCAUGCCGCGUGUGUGAAGAAGGCCUUCGGGUUGUAAAGCACUUUCAGUCGUGAGGAAAGGGGUGUAGUUAAUACCUGCAUCCUGUGACGUUAGCGACAGAAGAAGCACCGGCUAACUCCGUGCCAGCAGCCGCGGUAAUACGGAGGGUGCGAGCGUUAAUCGGAAUUACUGGGCGUAAAGCGUGCGUAGGCGGUUUGAUAAGCCAGAUGUGAAAUCCCGGGGCUUAACCUCGGAACUGCAUUUGGAACUGUUUAACUAGAGUACUGUAGAGGGUGGUGGAAUUUCCAGUGUAGCGGUGAAAUGCGUAGAGAUUGGAAGGAACAUCAGUGGCGAAGGCGGCCACCUGGACAGAUACUGACGCUGAGGCACGAAAGCGUGGGGAGCAAACAGGAUUAGAUACCCUGGUAGUCCACGCCGUAAACGAUGUCAACUAGCUGUUUGUGUUCUUGAAACGUGAGUAGCGUAGCUAACGCGCUAAGUUGACCGCCUGGGGAGUACGGCCGCAAGGUUAAAACUCAAAUGAAUUGACGGGGGCCCGCACAAGCGGUGGAGCAUGUGGUUUAAUUCGAUGCAACGCGAAGAACCUUACCAUCCCUUGACAUCCAGAGAAUUUACUAGAGAUAGUUUAGUGCCUUCGGGAACUCUGAGACAGGUGCUGCAUGGCUGUCGUCAGCUCGUGUUGUGAAAUGUUGGGUUAAGUCCCGCAACGAGCGCAACCCUUAUCCUUAUUUGCCAGCGAGUAAUGUCGGGAA